CCCUUGGAUCCCCCCCUCCCCCAGGGAACGAGGGUAUAGCAUUCUUGGGGUCUUUUUCAAAAGGCCCUCCCCUCAUUUCCGGCCGCUGCUGCCAACCUUGGCUGGGCGCCUGGAUCCUGUUGCUAUGACGACAGGAAGAGGCGGUGGCAGCAAGCGAUGCUGAAGAGAUGGAGGUCGGACGCCUGGGUCCCUUGCUGCUGGGGGAGGGGGAAGCAGCGAGAACUAGGAGCCCAGAGGUGUUUCUGGGGGGGGUGCCGGCAGCAGAGGCUACGCGUCCCUCCCCAGUGCAUCGGAGAGUUGACCUAUCGAUAACUGAGGUGAGAGAUCUUUUUAUUAAUCGGAGGUGGGUGGGUAGAGAAUUAAGGUUCUGUGAA
rnacentral:lncRNA from 1 species